rnacentral:misc_RNA from 1 species
GAAAUAAACCUGAUGGGUUGCUGCUGGCUCUCUCGGGAGCAUGUGCACACUUGUCAUCUUUAUAUCUCCACCUGUGCACCUUUUGUAGAUCUGGAUAUCUUUCUGAAUGCCUGCAUUCAGGUUUGAGGAUUGACUUGUCUUUCCUUACAUUUCCAGGCCUAUGUUUCUUCAUAUACACCAUGUAUGUUAUAGAAUGUAAUGAAAAGGGCCUUUGUGCCUACAAACUUAUACAACUUUCAGCAACGGAUCUCUUGGCUCU